rnacentral:rRNA from 1 species
GAGCGAUCAAGUGCCUUAAGAGCAUUCGGUGGAUGCCUUGGCGCUGAGAGGCGAUGAAGGACGUGGUACGCUGCGAUAAGCCUUGGGGAGCUGCGAACGAGCUUUGAUCCAGGGAUUUCCGAAUGGGGAAACCCACCUUCGACCUUCCGUAUGGCGGCUGCAUGUGACUUACGUCACCUGCGGCUCUCAUACGGUUGGUCACGUGAAGGUAUCAAAUCCUGAAUCCAU